GUGUGCCUGUAAUCCCAGCUACUUGGGAGGCUGAGGCAGGAGAAUGGCGUGAACCCGGGAAGCAGAGUGUACAGUGAGCCAAGAUCACGCCAUUGCACUCCAGCCUGGGCGACAGAGCGAGACUCCGUCUCAAAAAAAAAAGAAAUACAGUCAUGCACAGCAUAGUGACCUUUCAGUCAACAACAUUUAUGAAGAUGGUUGCAAAGAUUACACCAAACUUUUACUGCACCUUUCCUAUGUUCAGAUACUCACAUACUCAGCAUCGUACUACAACUGCCCACAGUAUUCAGUACAGCAACCUGCUGUGCAGGUUUUAGCCCAGGAGCAACAGGCUAUGCCACACAGCCUAGGGUGUAGCAGGCUAUGCUAUCUAGGUCUGUGUGAGUACAUUCUAUGGUGUUCACACCACAACGACAUCGCCAAACAAUGCAUCUCUCAGAACAUAUCCCCUUCGUUAAGUUACAUAUGACUGGUUUUUCUGUCUCCCCAUUCCUAUCAGGUGUCGCUUCUUGCUGCUCUCAAGCCCUACUCCCCAUGCUUCUGCUUCUAGCUUGCUGGGAGCUGGGAAACUGACCAAGCAUGGAAAACUACAGGAUAUAUUUACUGGAUUGGAAAGCCACAGAAUCAUCGGAAUACUUGGAGGACAGCUAAAAUGGAAAAAGGCCUUAAAAUGAUGGCAUCAGGCAAAAUGAAUAGCAGGAGAAGGUGCUGUAUUUGGGGGAAUCUGAUGCAGCACAUGGGGAAAUGUGGAGAAAGGGAACAUGCAGCCACAAACACUUACACAAGCCCUUAUGGCCAAUGAGCAUCAGAAGCGACCAGGAAGACACUCCGAAAGAUUCUAGAGGAAUGGCUUGAGAAUGUCAGGAGAUGGCAACUAACCCAAACCAAGGCCAGGUAAGACUUUCAGAGCGUUAGAAAACCUCAUAAAGAGGCUGUCUGUGAUCUCAAGGAAGUAAACCUCAGCAAGAACACUUUGGCAGGUGACAUGGAAUGGAAAUAAGGCCAGGAAGGGUGAAGAGAAGACUGGGAAACAAGAGGAAUUCAUGGCACACCCAAUACAUGUUGUGAUACAGCUCACUUCCCUGACAUCUAGUCUGUGUAUCUCACGAUUAGCACCCAGACAGCAUUUCCAGCCCGUGUGGAGCACCAGCUCUGCGCAGCCUCACCUUUUUCAACAUGUACCUCGAUAAUCUUCUUCUCACGGAUCACCUUGGCCCCGCUGCAGCUCUCGCAGCGGUCCUUGGGGUUGAUGCGCUCACCCUGGCCCUUGCACUCGAUGCACACGGUCUGGAUCUGCUGUACCAUGCCCGGCCCGAUCUGCUGGAUGUGGAUCUGCAUCCCCCGCCCCUUGCACAGCGGGCACUUCUCCACCGAUCCCUUCUUCCCACCAACACCUGCAGGGUCAGGGGAGGCAGGAAUGAGGGCCAUGCUCUUCCCUUACCAGUGUCCCUGCUGGGCGCCAUGGCAGAAGGGUAGGGAACCCUCACAUUGGACAAUGGGCUUAGAAUUCUAUUUACAAUAAUAAAAAACAAUGCAGAAGAGUCUGGAGGAGUCCAGCCAAGCAGACAACAUCCAGAUGUUAACAUCUGACCUCAAACGUUUGUGAUUUUGGCUGCACCAAUCCAAAUUUAUUACUUUAGCUUCAUCAAAUGUGUUUUCUUCCACCCCAGGUGGAACUCGCAUAGGCCCACAGAUGAAUGAGGAGGCUGGGGCUGUGGCGAUCUAGACAACACAAGCUCUGUCAAUAGUGGCAGCUACCCAGCUCAGCCAAUUCUCUCUGUGGGACAAUGUGAGGCUGGGGUCACCAGACAUGGCUUUUCUUGAAAACUCAGGUUUUUUAAAAAUUACAAUAAUUAUAUAUACAUUUAAGUCAGGGGUCAAGAAACCAUGGCCAGACUGCUUGGUUUUGUAAAUAAAGCUUUACUGGAACAUA